ACGCUCGACACCUACGGGAGGCAGCAGUGGGGAAUAUUGCACAAUGGGGGAAACCCGUGAUGCAGCGACGCCGCGUGAGCGAAGAAGUAUUUCGGUAUGUAAAGCUCUAUCAGCAGGGAAGAAACUGACGGUACCUGACUAAGAAGCACCGGCUAAAUACGUGCCAGAAGCCGCGGUAAUCUGAGCGGGCUGGCAAGGC
rnacentral:rRNA from 1 species